rnacentral:rRNA from 1 species
AAACAUCGCCUCUUGUAUCUAUAAGAGGUCCAGCCUGCCCAAUGAUUUUAUUUAAUGGCCGCGGUAUCCUAACCGUGCAAAGGUAGCGUAAUCACUUGUCUUCCAAAUAAAGACCCGUAUGAAUGGCAUCACGAAGACUCAGCUGUCUCCUUUCUCCAAUCAGUGAACCUAAUCUCCCCGUGAAGAAGCGGGGAUCCCACUAUAAGACGAGAAGACCCCGUGGAGCUUAAAACAUGAUAACAACUGCCGCCACCUCUAACCACCCCGAUGUUUCCCCUCCCGACACCCUGAUUAUAUGUUUUUGGUUGGGGUGACCGCGGAGAAAAACCCAUCCUCCACAAUGAAAGGGACUUCUACCUUAAACUACAAGUCACAACUUAACGUAUCAAAAAAUUGACAUUCCUUGACCCAAUAAAUUGAUUAACGAACCAAGUUACCCCGGGGAUAACAGCACAAUCCACUUUGAGAGCCCCUAUCGACAAGUGGGCUUAUGACCUCGAUGUUGGAUCAGGAUAUCCCAGUGGUGCAGCCGCUACUAAAGGUUCGUUUGUUCAACGAUUAAAAUCCCACGUGAU